GACGAACGCUGGCGGCGUGCUUAACACAUGCAAGUCGAACGGAAAGGCCCUGCUUUUGUGGGGUGCUCGAGUGGCGAACGGGUGAGUAACACGUGAGUAACCUGCCCUUGACUUUGGGAUAACUUCAGGAAACUGGGGCUAAUACCGGAUAGGAGCUCCUGCUGCAUGGUGGGGGUUGGAAAGUUUCGGCGGUUGGGGAUGGACUCGCGGCUUAUCAGCUUGUUGGUGGGGUAGUGGCUUACCAAGGCUUUGACGGGUAGCCGGCCUGAGAGGGUGACCGGCCACAUUGGGACUGAGAUACGGCCCAGACUCCUACGGGAGGAAGCAGUGGGGAAUAUUGCACAAUGGGCGGAAGCCUGAUGCAGCAACGCCGCGUGCGGGAUGACGGCAUUCGGGUUGUAAACCGAUUUCGCCUGUGACGAAGCGUGAGUGACGGUAAUGGGUAAAGAAGCACCGGCUAACUACGUG
rnacentral:rRNA from 1 species